rnacentral:rRNA from 1 species
UACGAAGGGUGCAAACGUUGCUCGGAAUCAUUGGGCGUAAAGCGCACGUAGGCGGCUUUCUAAGUCAGGGGUGAAAUCCUGGAGCUCAACUCCAGAACUGCCUUUGAUACUGGAGAGCUUGAGUCCGGAAGAGGUGAGUGGAACUCCGAGUGUAGAGGUGAAAUUCGUAGAUAUUCGGAAGAACACCAGUGGCGAAGGCGGCUCACUGGUCCGGUACUGACGCUGAGGUGCGAAAGCGUGGGGAGCAAACAGG